rnacentral:rRNA from 1 species
AACGAACGCUGGCGGCAGGCUUAACACAUGCAAGUCGAACGCACCUUUCGGGGUGAGUGGCAGACGGGUGAGUAACGCGUGGGAAUCUACCCUUCUCUACGGGAUAGCUCCGGGAAACUGGAAUUAAUACCGUAUACGUCCUGAGGGCGAAAGAUUUAUCGGGGAAGGAUGAGCCCGCGUUGGAUUAGCUAGUUGGUGGGGUAAAGGCCUACCAAGGCGACGAUCCAUAGCUGGUCUAAGAGGAUGAUCAGCCACAUUGGGACUGAGACACGGCCCAAACUCCUACGGGAGGCAGCAGUGGGGAAUAUUGGACAAUGGGCGCAAGCCUGAUCCAGCCAUGCCGCGUGAGUGAUGAAGGCCCUAGGGUUGUAAAGCUCUUUCAGUGGGGACGAUAAUGACGGUACCCACAGAAGAAGCCCCGGCUAACUUCGUG